GGGCAGGUGGCCGAGCAGCGAAGGCACACGACUGUAAAUCGUGCGGUUCAUCCCCGCGGAGGUGCAAGUCCUCCUCUGCCCACCA
rnacentral:tRNA from 1 species